AGGCUGUGGGGAGGGCAGGGUUAUGUGGAGUGGGGGCAUUUCUUGUUUCCCUCAUUCAUCCCAUCACCCCAACCACCCUCCUGCCAGCCUCCUCCACCAUCAAAAGUGAAAAGAGCUGGGUGCGUUGGCUCACGCCUGUAAUCCCAACAUUUUGGGAGGCCGAGGCAGGCAGAUCACCUGAGGCCAGGAGUUCAAGACCAGCCUGGCCAACAUGGUGAAACCCUAUCUCUACUAAAGAUACAAAACUUAGCUGGGCGUGGCGAUGCAUGACUGUUGUCCCAGCUACAACACUCAGCUAGGCUGAGAUAGGAGGAUUGCUUGAGCCUGGGAUUUCAAGACCAGCCACGGCAACACAGGGAGACCCUAUCUCUACUAAAAAUAAAAAUGAAAAAAACAAAACAAAAAACUGGGCAUGGUGGUGCGCACCUGUAGUCCCAGCUACUGGGGAGGCUCAGACAGUAGGAUCCCUUGAGCCCAGGAGAUCCAGGAAGCAGUGAGCCAUGAUCACACCACUGCACUCCAGCUGGAUCAACAGAGUAAGACCCUCUAUUGACUCCAACCCAGAUUUUGCAAUGGGGCUGAGAAACCUGACACCACACAGUCUGACUAGUACACGGCCUUUGUAUCGGUGCUGCUCUGGGACGUUCUCAGACCCUUCCCAUCCUCUGCUCUGGUCCACACAAUGCAGCGAUCCUUGCAACCUUGUCCAUCCAGAUAGGUGACCAAGGUCUAGGGCACAGACUUAGUCAGAAAAACUGUCCAGUCAUCUAACCUCUGAGCCUCAGUUUCCCCAUUGUUACAACAGGAAUAAGCAUUCUACUCUUUUGAGAACAUGGCUGUAAAGAGCCUAGUCCAGUGUCUGGCACAUAGUAGGGUGCCCUAAAGUGGGUGGGCUACUGGCACUGAGUGGAGGCCACUAAUUAGCUGAGCUGUUGGCACUCAAACCAAACCCUUGGCCUGGAUAUGGAAUAGACAGCAGAGUGAGUCAAGGGGCCCACAGCCCUUUUUUCUUUUCUUUUUUUUUUUUUUUUUGGUGAGAUGGAGUCUCACUCUGUCACCCAGGCUGGAGUACAGUGGUGCAAUCUUGGCACACUGCAACCUCCGCCUCCCAGGUUCAUGUGAUUCUCCUGCCUCAGCCUCCCCAAGUGCUGGAGUUACAGGCAUGAGCCGCUGCGCCCGGCCUGGCUCUGCCAUUUAAUGAGCCGGAUUGCUCUUAUGUUGAAGCCCUAACUCCAGUACUUCCAAAUGUGCCUGUGUUUGAAGAUAGGGCCUUUAAAGAGGUGAGAAAGUUAAAAAGAGGCCUUUAGGGUGGGCCCUAAUCCAAUCCAACUGGAGUCCUCAUACAAAAAGAAAAUUUGGGCUAGGUGCGAUGGCUUACACCAUCUACCCAGCACUUUGGGAAGCUGAGGCAGUAGAAUCACUUGAGUCUGGGAGUCCGAGAACAGCCUGGGCAACAUAAGAGACUCCAUCUCUACAAAAAAUUUUAGAAAUUAGCCAGCCACAGUGGCACAUGCCUGUAGUCCCAGCUACUCAGGAGGCUGAGGUGGAAGGAUUACUUGAUCCCCGAAGGUGGAGGCUGCAGUGAGGUAGGAUCACAUGACUGCAUUCCAGGCUGGGUGACAGAACAAGGCCCUGUCUCAAAUAAAUAAAUAAAUAAUAAACGCAAAUUUGGACACACACAGAGAUACCAGGGUUGCCCAUUCACAGAUGAAAGACCAUGUGAGGACAGUGAGAAGACAGCUGUCUGGAGGCCAAGCAGGGAGGCCACAGAAGAAAGCAACCUGCCGACCCCCUGAUCUUGGACUUCCAGCCUGUGACAAAAGAAAUGUCUGCUGUUUCAACCAUCCAGUCUGCGGUCCUUUGUUAAGGCAGCCCGUGCUGACUGGGAUGGUGGGCAUGGGCAGGCUGCUGCAUUCAUGUGAGCCUCUAUAUCCAUAUCUGUACGAUGGCCAUGACAACAGGGCACCCUCUUGGAAGUAUUCUAUGAACUCAGUGCUGGCACACAAUAGCCUCUGUUAGCCUGGAAGUCUCUGACAAACAGCGCUGAAUGGUAGGGAAGAGGUGGAGCUAGGAUUGGUGUUGGGGCACGUGGUGACCUGUCGUGCGCAGGCACACCACAGAAGGAAAAACCAGAGCAACUCUCAGAAGCAGAGACAGGGUUUCACCAUGUUGCCCAGGCUGGUCUGGAACUCCUGACCUCAAGUGAUCCUCCGCCUUGCCCUCCCAAAGUGCUGGGAUGACAAGCGUGUUCCACCGCGCCCGGCUGAGCCAUGGUCUUGAGUGAGUUACUCCUGGUCCCACCACUUGGCUUUGUUCAUGCCUGUUGUCUGCCCUCCUGACCAGAAGGCUCAUGGAACCAAGAAUUCUGGUAUUCCAGCCACUACACAGAUGGGGAAAUUGAGACUCAGCGGAGCAUGACUUGCCCAAGGUCCUCUACCAGGUCCAGGCAUGGAUGGCAGGAAGGGGUUGACUGUCUUUUCCUCUGGAGCCACGACGGACAUUGGGGGCAUUGCUUCCUGAGAGCUGUC